rnacentral:lncRNA from 1 species
GUGGUGGAACCUGCCUUACUCAUCCUCCACCAUGUGGAUAUUCACUUUUCUCAAAGUCCAGACCUAAGAGAGAAGGUGCCAGACUUGUUCUUCCUGCAGCCUCCCUUUAACCUGGAACCAUACAGAGAAGGAUAUUUUGAGAAGCAGAGUUUCCAUUUUUAAUCAGCUUGACACUGCAUAUUCCAACAAACUAAUUAUAUAAGUGAAGGAUGGUGGAAUAUGGCACUCUCAAAUCUUUGGCAUAAGGAUUAUUUUGAGGUGAAGGCACUCGAACAACAGCAAAUGGCAGUGAUUGUAUAAGCAUGAGUGCAGAUGGAGCAGUGAGUGGCUUGGAUCCCUGUGAGGCUUUAAGGAGCAGAGGCCCCUGCUGGCCUGUGAUGGACACAUAGCAUGGACAAGAGAGGACAAGACCUGGAAUGUUGGGUUCCAGGACAUCUUUCUAAUGGAAGACCCUAUUGUAAUUAUGGCAACUCAACACGCGUGCCUGACACAGCAUGUGAAGCAGAAAAUGAUAGCUGUAUAUGGCACCGUUCCCAGGGAAGCUGUAUGAAAAAGGACAGACAAAUUGAUGCCAGGGUAUGGAAAACAGCCACAGAAAAUGAUAGCUGUAUAUGGCACCGUUCCCACGGAAGCUGUAUGGAAAAGGACAGACAAAUUGAUGCCAGGGUAUGGAAAACAGCCACAGAUAUGUGCUUUGAAAGGAGUCAUCCCACCAACUCAACUGCCAUGUUUAAUGGUCUAAGGACCGUUCAUCUGAGAGUUGCCGGGACCACUGGGUACCUGAAUAGAAUUGCAGAUCUCUGAAGGGAAAGAAGAGGACUAGGAGUGAGGUGAACACUCACAAUGACUGUUCCAGAGAGGCUACACGUUGGUCUUGGAUCUAUUGAUUAUCAUAUA